AUUGAACGCUGGCGGCAGGCCUAACACAUGCAAGUCGAACGAGUGGCGGACGGGUGAGUAAUGUCUGGGAAACUGCCCGAUGGAGGGGGAUAACUACUGGAAACGGUAGCUAAUACCGCAUACCAUCGGAUGUGCCCAGAUGGGAUUAUCUAGUAGGUGGGGUAACGGCUCACCUAGGCGACGAUCCCUAGCUUGUCUGAGAGGGUGACCGGCCACACUGGAACUGCGACACGGUCCAGACGCCUACGGGGGGCAGCAGUGGGGAAUAUUGCACUAUAGGGGCGAGCCUGAUGCAGCCAUGCCCCGUGUAUGAAGAAGGCCUUCGGGUUAUAAAGUACUUUCAGAAGAAAGGCAUUACUCGCAAAAGAAGCACCGGCUAACUCCGUGCCAGCAGCCGCGGUAAUAC
rnacentral:rRNA from 1 species